rnacentral:rRNA from 1 species
GAUGAACGCUGGCGGCGUGCCUAAUACAUGCAAGUCGAGCGAACAGACGAGGAGCCUGCUCCUCUGACGUUAGCGGCGGACGGGUGAGUAACACGUGGAUAACCUACCUAUAAGACUGGGAUAACUUCGGGAAACCGGAGCUAAUACCGGAUAAUAUAUUGAACCGCAUGGUUCAAUAGUGAAAGACGGUUUUGCUGUCACUUAUAGAUGGAUCCGCGCCGCAUUAGCUAGUUGGUAAGGUAACGGCUUACCAAGGCAACGAUGCGUAGCCGACCUGAGAGGGUGAUCGGCCACACUGGAACUGAGACACGGUCCAGACUCCUACGGGAGGCAGCAGUAGGGAAUCUUCCGCAAUGGGCGAAAGCCUGACGGAGCAACGCCGCGUGAGUGAUGAAGGUCUUCGGAUCGUAAAACUCUGUUAUUAGGGAAGAACAAAUGUGUAAGUAACUAUGCACGUCUUGGCGGUACCUAAUCAGAAAGCCACGGCUAACUACGUG